AUUGAACGCUGGCGGCAUGCUUUACACAUGCAAGUCGAACGGUAACAGGCCUUCGGGUGCUGACGAGUGGCGAACGGGUGAGUAAUGCAUCGGAACGUGCCCAAUCGUGGGGGAUAACGUAGCGAAAGUUACGCUAAUACCGCAUAAGCCCUGAGGGGGAAAGCAGGGGAUCGCAAGACCUUGCGCGAAUGGAGCGGCCGAUGUCAGAUUAGCUAGUUGGUGGGGUAAAGGCCUACCAAGGCGACGAUCUGUAGCGGGUCUGAGAGGAUGAUCCGCCACACUGGGACUGAGACACGGCCCAGACUCCUACGGGAGGCAGCAGUGGGGAAUUUUGGACAAUGGGCGCAAGCCUGAUCCAGCCAUGCCGCGUGCGGGACGAAGGCCUUCGGGUUGUAAACCGCUUUCAGCCGGAAAGAAAUACGCCAAGGCUAAUAUCCUUGGUGGAUGACGUACCGGAAGAAGAAAGCACCGGCUAACUACGUGCCAGCAGCCGCGGUAAAGU
rnacentral:rRNA from 1 species